UCUGGAAUCUGAACUGACUGGUUUUAGUAACUUCUGGCCUAUUCCAGUAACUUAUGGCCUGUAGCUAAAAGGAGCAGUCUUAGGCCUUAGUUUUGGGGUGAAAGCAUUUUGGUCUUAUUUUGGUUCCGCAGUGAGAUAUUGUCAAAAGAUAUUGUCAGAGAGGGAGUGACGAGAUCAAGGACUCUAACAUAGAUAAUGUAUUAGGGACAGACCAGCAGGAAGAGUGACUGCCAUAACACCUUUUCACAGUAACAGGGUCCCGUGUCUUUGGGAGAGAGAGGAAAGUGAGCUUCAGAAAAUAGCAGCGUGAAGACAGUCACUUUCUCAACACCCAUACGGGAAGGCGGAACCUGGUUUGUUGUUGAACAAAUAUGUCUCGAAGAUAGCAACCAAGUUGCAACAUAUUCAAGAAAAAACCUGGAGAGACGUCUCAAAAGGCGAAGGACAGAACCGUUAUAGCUAAGUAUAAUUAAAGAAAGACAAACCAAGCAAGAAUUUCAACCAGGGACAUUGUGCUGAAGGUAACAUUUUGAAUGAUGCCCUCUAUCAGGCUGAUUUCAUCGAUAACCCACUGUCUUGGAUACUGACAGCUAAAUGCUAAUGACCACACCCUGACAUCAAGACGUACAGCCCUCGUACCCGACAUCUUCCGGCCGUACCUGGAGCAGGGCCGGACCCUCCUGAGGCAGGGAUACAGGAUUCCACGGGUCACAGAUGGGGUCCUUCAAGACUCCCAUUAUCUAAAUUCUUUCGGAUAGUAAAGGUUUCAACUUCAACAAGAACUUUCCAUCUAUUAAAAGUGUACUCUUUUCACCUAUUUCAUGUGCUAGCUCCCAGCUUGAUCCACUAUACCAAUAAGCUGAUUGGUCAAUAGCUGAGCAGGAAGAGAUUGAGCCGGAGAGCCAGACUAGGAGAAUUCUGGGAAGAGGAAGGGCAGAGUCAGAGAGUCACCUACAAGUACAGAGAAGCAAGACAAAAAUGCCGUACUGAGAAAAGAGUCCGGGGAACCAAGUCAUCAUUGCUUCACAAUGGUAAAAAGGAAGGAGUAGAGCACAGACCCUUUCUGAACUCCGACAGCAGAUGCUUCCAAAAGUGCAGAAGCAUUUCUGCCAAGACAGCAUUCAAAAUCACUUCUAGUCCCAUAUCCUAAAGCUUGUGAUGAAUGUCUCUAGUUUUCCUCAUUAUUUUCGUCUUUCAGUAGAAAAUGGGUAGAAGCCAGAUUUCAAAAGAACAUCUUUAAAGAGCCAACACAAAGGUAAUGCAUGGGAAAGUAAAGAAGCAAAUUUCAUAGUAGUUUCUUAAAACUCAACUGCCUGCCUGAAUCCAUUCACUUGUAUGUGUCUCUUGAAUUGCCCUGUAUGCCGGUUUGCCCUCCCAUUGCCAACCUGGAUUUGAGCAAAUCCCCCAUUUGGUAUUAACAACGGAGUUGCAAAGACUGAAUAAAAAAAUAGAAAUAG